AUUUAAAAUCUGGCAGUCUCUGGCUGUCCGAGUUGUAACCUAGAGAAGUGCUAUCCGUGCUGGACCAUGUAUAAGUCUCCUGGAACGGAGCGUCACAGAGGGUGAGAAUCCCGUCUUUGACAUGGACUCCCAGUGCAUUGUGAUGUGCUCUCAAAGAGUCGAGUUGUUUGGGAAUGCAGCUCAAAAUGGGUGGUAAAUUCCAUCUAAAGCUAAAUAUUGGCGAGAGACCGAUAGCGAACAAGUACCGUGAGGGAAAGAUGAAAAGAACUUUGGAAAGAGAGUUAAACAGUACGUGAAAUUGUUGAAAGGGAAACGCUUGAAGUCAGUCGCAUUGGCCGGUGAUCAAUCUUGCUUUGGCGAGGUGUACUCUCUGGUCAAUGGGUCAGCAUCAAUUUUGACUGCCGGAAAAAGGUCAGGGGAAUGUGGCAUCUCCGGAUGUGUUAUAGCCUCUGGUCAUAUACGGUGGUUGGGAUUGAGGAACUCAGCACGCCGCAAGGCCGGGUAUCUACCACGUUCGUGCUUAGGAUGCUGGCAUAAUGGCUUUAAUCGACCCGUCUUGAAACACGGACCAAGGAGUCUAACAUGCCUGCGAGUGUUUGGGUGGUAAACCCAUGCGCGCAAUGAAAGUGAAAGUUGAGAUCUCUGUCAUGGAGAGCAUCGACGCCCGGACCAGACCUUUUGUGACGGAUCCGCGGUAGAGCAUGUAUGUUGGGACCCGAAAGAUGGUGAACUAUGCCUGAAUAGGGCGAAGCCAGAGGAAACUCUGGUGGAGGCUCGUAGCGAUUCUGA
rnacentral:rRNA from 1 species